rnacentral:rRNA from 1 species
CGCGGCCUAUCAGCUUGUUGGUGGGGUAAUGGCCUACCAAGGCGGCGACGGGUAGCCGGCCUGAGAGGGUGCACGGCCACAUUGGGACUGAGAUACGGCCCAGACUCCUACGGGAGGCAGCAGUGGGGAAUAUUGCACAAUGGGCGCAAGCCUGAUGCAGCGACGCCGCGUGGGGGAUGAAGGCCUUCGGGUUGUAAACUCCUUUCGCUAGGGACGAAGCUUUUUGUGACGGUACCUAGAUAAGAAGCACCGGCUAACUACGUGCCAGCAGCCGCGGUAAUACGUAGGGUGCGAGCGUUGUCCGGAAUUACUGGGCGUAAAGGGCUCGUAGGUGGUUUGUCGCGUCGUCUGUGAAAUUCUGGGGCUUAACUCCGGGCGUGCAGGCGAUACGGGCAUAACUUGAGUGCUGUAGGGGUAACUGGAAUUCCUGGUGUAGCGGUGAAAUGCGCAGAUAUCAGGAGGAACACCGAUGGCGAAGGCAGGUUACUGGGCAGUUACUGACGCUGAGGAGCGAAAGCAUGGGUAGCGAACAGGAUUAGAUACCCUGGUAGUCCAAGCCGUAAACGGUGGGCGCUAGGUGUGAGGGUCUUUCUACGACUUUCGUGCCGUAGCUAACGCAUUAAGCGCCCCGCCUGGGGAGUACGG